GGCGACAGAGCAAGACUCAAUCUCAAAAAAAGAAAAAAAAAGGAAAAGAUUAAAGGCAGCUCACAGGCUCAGAGGGAAGCCACUAGUUAUGCCACUCUCCUUUCCACAUUCUGCCCUCCUCUGUGGUUUUGUCUCUUACUGAACAGGGACUCCUAGCAGGCAUCUGCCCUCAUUCUGCUCUGCACCCAAGGUUUUGCAGUUGGUAUUUGCCACAACCUUCCUGAUAUUAACUUGGAUGUCGGCCUCUCCCUUCCCCACCAGCUCCCCACCUCCAGCCACCUAAGAUUUUGGGGAAAUGAAAAACAGUGGCCCUUCAAAACAAAAGGGCCCCAGUGAGCAUUGGGAAGCCAAUAGGCUUGAUGGGACUGGGGAGACCAAGGCAGGAGAGAGAAUUGGAACGGUGGAAAGGGAACACCACCAAAUGGAUGGGUCACUUGAGGAACAUUUGCUGCCCUCCUGCUGUGCAGGAGGCACUGCACUCAACCCUGUGGCCUGGACAUGCCAUGAGUGAAUUCAGGUCCCAUCUCACAGAGAAUACACAGCUUAGCUAGUGUACUCACUGUGCUUGGUUGAGGAGUCUGAAGUUGAUAACAUACACAAUAAAUGAUGUUUGAGAAAGAUUAUUCCAGCAGGGUGUGUAGGAGGAAGGAAAAAGAAAGGACAGUGUAGCAGCUGCUGUGAGAAUUUGGGCCAAAGGUGGAAUCUAUGGGGCUGGAGGGGAAAGGGUGAAGGAGAAAAGUAAUGAACAAACAAUAUAUUUUGAAAUAAAAGCAACAAAGGGAAGAAUUUGAUAAGAUAUCAGACAUAAGGAUGAUGAAGGAGAGAAAGUAGUUAAACAUUAAUCUACCUUUGCAGUGAGUUUCAGGACUGGGAGGGUCAUGGUGGGCAAUGGGGAGGAGCUGGUGUGAGGGACAUGAAUAUGAGUUCAGUCACUUCUAGGCCAUGUAAGGGCAGGUGUCCCGUAGGUGACUGGACUUGGAGAUAGGGAAGUCCAGAAGAGCAGUGGGCUGCUGUCUGAGAGUGUCCCUGUCAUAGCCUCGAGCAAUCACUGACCUGGGAUCACGGACAGAUUUCAAGCAUCAGGAAGAAGGAUCCUCUUCCUCGGCUCCCUACUCCGCCACUACCCCAGAACAAACUCCUACCUCUGUUUGCAACUAAGAGUUACAUCCCCCAUGCCAAGACCUUCCGAGGCGUCCCAGAGGGGUGAGGUUUGGGGAAAACAGAACAUGUACACAGCAGCUGUGUGCCUGGCCACACCUGUCGGGUGGGGUGAGGAGAGUGCUCCUCCCAGGUGGGCAGAGCCUGCUGCGCUCAGGCUGGGGGCUGGGAGACGCUUUAAUACAGGGGCUAGAUGGCAGAGAGAUGCGCAAACCGGCCACGUGGAGGUCCAGCGCGGUAGGGUCGGGCGCAAGCAGAGGAGCGGGCCGUACGCUCGCCCCUCCCGUUCCAGGGAGCCGCCGAGUGCCGGGUCGUCGCUGACCGCAGGCUGCAAGAGCGGUUGAUCUGGUGAGCGAGCACACCCACUUACCCAGCUGCUGAGUCAGGCUGUUCUCGCUCGCGCUCGCCCGCCCGCCCGCCCGCUCGGGACAUUGUGUUCCAGCCCCGGCGCGCUGGCAGCGGGCCCAGGCGCUCACACCAGCCUCCUCGCCCUGUUUGUGCUCGCGGCUUGCGCUCGGCGCGCAGCCUCCCGGCCGCCGCAACCAUGCGAUUGCACGCUGGGGCAGGGGCUGGCCAGCAACCUCCGGGGUGCGCGUGGGCCCCGCAGCCCUGCCCACUCACCGGCCUUGGAGCACCCAGGCCUAGCCAUCCCCCAUUUGCCCCUGGUUGGGUACCCCAGGCUUGGGUGGCGCCUGGAUUAGCACAGCUGGGGGAGGGAGCAGGUGUGGGGAGCUCUACGAGCAGAAGGAGCCACCCAGGCUGCCGCCAGCGCUCUCCAGCGCUCAGUCCGUGCCUCUCCAGCGCUCAGUCCAGGAGGCAAGAGGAGGAUAGCUGGAGCUCGCCAGCCCCAGACUUGCGAGACCUGGGACGCAGUCAUGUGACAACGGAAGCCCGUGUUGAGGGGGCCAAUUCAAGCAAUCCCCAGGAGGAGCCUCCCCUUUCCUAGCCUCCCUUCCCUGAUCCUUCACAGCAGCCUGGAACACGGAGACUCCAGGGAUUCCCGGGGCUGGCAAACCAAGCCCAGCCCUUUUGGACGGUUUGGGAAAUCCCUGGCAGGACGCCGGGAGUAGGGAGAGCCCAGACACUGGCGGGUGGGUGUGGACGACAGGGUGGAAGAAGGGCAAGGCCAAGGAAGACGACCCCAAGAUGACCCUGGAAUCUGACCCUUCCCUGUGUUUAGCUCCAAACCCCCGGUUUAUUCAGAGCCACGUUUUCUCCUUACCCAUCCUUCUGUGGAAAGACAUCACUAAGUGCUGGUCCUAAAGAUCCCACUGUCUCCAAACCAGGGAGGGGACAAAACAUUUAUAUAGCACGUCUGCCAUGAGGAAGGCUCUGUGUUGGGUCCUGCUAGAGAAUGUCACUAUGAGGUUAAGACACAGUCCUGAAGUCCUUUGUUCUCUCUCCUUCCCACCUUCACAGUUUGCUGUGCCAUUUCUCAUGCCAGGAGUGCCCGUCCUCCCUGUCUACCCAUCUCUGCUGCUCCAGUUCAUAAAGCUUCCUUGAAACAGUGCCAGCCAAAUCUGAUUCCCGUCUCCUCUGAACGCCCAGCACACUCAGUUUGUACCUUUCUCACGGCACAGCGUGUGGCCUGUCUCAUAUUCUAGCGAUCUGUUUACUAAUCCUGUUCUUCUAACCAGAUUAGAAAGUCCUUGAGGCAGAAACAAAGUCUGCUUCUUCUUUGAGCCCUCUCCUCUACUGCCCCCGCCUCCCGCCACCAUUCCAACUCAUCCCCCACAGGCCAGGCUCGGCACCGGAGUUCAUGUUCAAUAAAUAUUGGGUGUAUUGAAAUGA